rnacentral:rRNA from 1 species
CCUACGGGAGGCAGCAGUGGGGAAUUUUGGACAAUGGGCGCAAGCCUGAUCCAGCAAUGCCGCGUGAGUGAAGAAGGCCUUCGGGUUGUAAAGCUCUUUUGUCAGGGAAGAAACGGUCUACUCUAAUACAGUGGGCUAAUGACGGUACCUGAAGAAUAAGCACCGGCUAACUACGUGCCAGCAGCCGCGGUAAUACGUAGGGUGCAAGCGUUAAUCGGAAUUACUGGGCGUAAAGCGUGCGCAGGCGGUUAUAUAAGUCAGAUGUGAAAUCCCCGGGCUCAACCUGGGAACUGCAUUUGAGACUGUAUGGCUAGAGUGUGUCAGAGGGGGGUAGAAUUCCACGUGUAGCAGCGAAAUGCGUAGAUAUGUGGAGGAAUACCGAUGGCGAAGGCAGCCCCCUGGGAUAACACUGACGCUCAUGCACGAAAGCGUGGGGAGCAAACAGGAUUAGAUACCCUGGUAGUCCACGCCCUAAACGAUGUCUACUAGUUGUCGGGACUUAAUUGUCUUGGUAACGCAGCUAACGCGUGAAGUAGACCGCCUGGGGAGUACGGUCGCAAGNUUAAAACUUAAAGGAAUUGACGG